GACCUCGGAUCAGGUAGGAAUACCCGCUGAACUUAACAUAUAAA
rnacentral:rRNA from 1 species